UACGUAGGGUGCAAGCGUUAUUCGGAAUUACUGGGCGUAAAGCGUGCGCAGGCGGCUUUGCAAGUCAGAUGUGAAAUCCCCGGGCUCAACCUGGGAACUGCAUUUGUGACUGCAUGGCUAGAGUGCGGCAGAGGAGGAUGGAAUUCCGCGUGUAGCAGUGAAAUGCGUAGAUAUGCGGAGGAACACCGAUGGCGAAGGCGAUCCCCUGGGCCUGCACUGACGCUCAUGCACGAAAGCGUGGGGAGCAAACAGG
rnacentral:rRNA from 1 species